GUAGGAUCCAUCCAUCCGUCUAAGUUCAAAAAAAAAAAAGAGUAGGAUCCAUCCAUCUCGAUACUAGCAAUCGCUUUGUCUGUUGUAUUUGUUGGUUUUUUCGCCCGCCGGCGUUCCGCCAGAUGGAAGGUGGUUCCGGCGGGAUUGUCAUCGGCUACCCGCUGAUCGAACCACAUGCGCUUCCGGGGAAGGAGUCCAGUCGGGCUCGGAGGCUCUUCGUGGUGGGAUUCUUCUUCACCAUGUGUGUGGCAUAUGCGGUUUUCCUCAUAAUGCUUCAUGGGCUUCCAUUGGUGACAAUACCGUCCGGGGUUUUCCUAAUAUUUGUGGCAUUUGCUGCGUCUGCAUGUAUAUAUAUCAAAUUUCUUUUUUUUUGUAUUCUUUCAAAUACUAUGUUGGUUGUUUGUAAUGGGCUUCCAUUCGUGACCAUUUCCA